rnacentral:rRNA from 1 species
AUACGGAGGGGGCAAGCGUUAUUCGGAAUUAUUGGGCGUAAAGGGCGCGUAAGCGGCCCGACAAGUCAACGGUGAAAUCCCUCGGCCUAACCGAGGAACUGCCUUUGAAACUGUCAGGCUUGAGGCCGGGAGAGGGUAGUGGAAUUCCCAGUGUAGCGGUGAAAUGCGUAGAUAUUGGGAGGAACACCAGUGGCGAAGGCGACUACCUGGACCGGUUCUGACGCUGAGGCGCGAAAGCGUGGGGAGCAAACAGGAUUAGAAACCCCAGUAGUCC